CGGGUUGAAGCAUGACCGUAAGGACAUGUGGACAGUAUGGGAGUGAGAAUGUUGGCAUGAGUCGCGAGAUGUGGGUGCGAAUCCCACAGGCCGUAAACCCAAGGUUUCCAGGGGAAGGUUCGUCCGCACUGGGUUAGUCGGGACCUAAGCUGAGGCCGAAAGGCGUAGGUGAUGGACAACAGGUUGAUAUUCCUGUACUACCGAUAACCGUUUGAGAGA
rnacentral:rRNA from 1 species